rnacentral:lncRNA from 1 species
AGACCCCUGGGCUAACAGCCCAAGGGACCCACCUCAAUGGCCCCCACCUGUGUCCAUAUCAGCACGCCUGGACCAGCUCAGAACAACCACCCCCACCAAUGUCUCAGUCUCCGGAGAGGAUCCUCCUCUCACCAAGAUGCCCCCAGAGCCCACCAGCCUGACACAUCGUCAUCACUACCACCACCUCUCAGCCUUCCAGUGUGCUCGCUGUAUUCCUAGUUCUGAGGAGAAAUCAAGCAGGAAAUGGAGGGAGCACAACAGGAAAAAUCCUUUAACAUGCACAACUAUAAAUUCACCAUCCUCUGGAAUUACCCUUCAUGGACUCGAAGGCUGUUAAUGCAGUAAAUUCCCCCUGUGUUUUCCUUCUCCAGGGGGAAAUUUGGACAUAGAGACAUGCAUAGAGGGAAAACGGACUGAAGACUGAGGGAGAAUGCCAUUUACAAGCCAAGGAACACCUGAAGCCACCAGAAGCAAGGAGGAAGGCAUGGAGCAGAUUCUCCCUCACAGCUCUCAGAAGGAACCCACCUGGCC